rnacentral:rRNA from 1 species
GACGAACGCUGGCGGCGUGCUUAACACAUGCAAGUCGAACGGAAAGGCCCUGCUUUUGUGGGGUGCUCGAGUGGCGAACGGGUGAGUAACACGUGAGUAACCUGCCCUUGACUUUGGGAUAACUUCAGGAAACUGGGGCUAAUACCGGAUAGGAGCUCCUGCUGCAUGGUGGGGGUUGGAAAGUUUCGGCGGUUGGGGAUGGACUCGCGGCUUAUCAGCUUGUUGGUGGGGUAGUGGCUUACCAAGGCUUUGACGGGUAGCCGGCCUGAGAGGGUGACCGGCCACAUUGGGACUGAGAUACGGACCAGACGCCUACGGGAGGCAGCAGUGGGGAAUAUUGCACAGUGGGCGGAAGCCUGAUGCAGAAACGCCGCGUGCGGGAUGACGGCCUUCGGGUUGUAAACCGCUUUCGCCUGUGACGAAGCGUGAGUGACGGUAAUGGGUAAAGAAGCACCGGCUAACUACGUG